rnacentral:tRNA from 1 species
GAUUUAGGUGGCUCAGUGGUAGAGUACUUGCCUUACAUGAGUGAGGCACUGGGAUCAAUUCUCAGCAACACA